CAAAGUUUCAUUUCUUCAGUGUUGUCCCAUGAAAAGAUAUAAUAAAAUAUUUGCAGAAAUGUGAGGGGUGUACUCACUUUUGUGACAUACUGUAUCUUCAUUAUACUGUCUUCAUUUUGAAUGAGCUAAUGGCUAACUAGCUCAUUGGCACGAGGAGCCCCCACACGUAGGCCUGCUGGCCCCCAGCAAAGGACUUGAUAUGCUGUACAAGAUACAAGAUAUCAAGCAAACCUUUCCUUGAGUCUUACAUGAAUGUGAGGUGGAUGGAGAUGUGUCGACUCCACUAUCCCUUCACCCCAGUUAUCGCCAGUUGGUGGCGAGCCUCCACUCUUGCCGACUACAUCCCAUUCAUCAGGUUCGACAAUUUAUCCUUCAGCCCACAAGAGGAACCCAACAGAACCAAUGGAUCAGGAUGAAGCAUGACAGAAAGUCGGUGGUGUUUUGAGGGCCAAUCCGAAAGGUGAGGAAAUCUUCAAGGAGUGCACCAAGACUGAAACACUAACCGAUGCAAGGUGUAAACAGAUGGUGAACAUCCUGGUUGCAGAUAUGAUGGAGCUGCAUGGGAGGGUUCCGCCAUCAUGUGUGAUGAGAAAUUACGCCCUGAGACUUGUGACUUGUUUUCCAUACAUCAAAGAUCCAUUCUCCAAACCUGGAUAUGAUGCUUAGCUUAGCGGCAGUGGCUCAGGAGGUAGAGCAGGUCAUCCAGAAAUCGUAAGGUUGGUUGAUCCUUGCUCCCUCCACCCAGUCACUGUUGUGUCCUACACUUCUCCUGGCUCUCAAAGCCGUUCCAAGACUGUUUCUUCAGGAUGGUCCAAAAACCAGAGGAGAACAUCUGUUAACUGGUCAACAGCUGCUUGGUGAGGAGUGCAAGGAGGCACUAUCUACAAUAAGACAUUCAACCGAUGAAUCCGUGGUCAAAGAAGAUGAGAGCAACUUUCCAGUAUCGACAGAAUAUGAUCCAAGCAGAAGAUGUAUCAUCGUCUGUCCUCAAUGUGUUCCCUCACUUCCUUGAUGUUCCUGGAUUGAUUGACCAGGAUUUCUCAAUGAUGUUUGCUGAUGAAGUAUCUCAGAGGUUCCUGGCUAAGUGGUCAACUGUCUUCAAAGCAAAAGUCAUUGCAGACUGCAAGACUCUCCCGCAAAAGCAGAACAUUGAUGAGUUGCUGUCAGGAACUGAACCUCAACCUGAUGACAGCUGUGGCUGGGGCAGUGAUACAUCCUCCAUCCUUCUACACCUGCAUCUGCUCCUCCGACCUCUAGAGGCCAGGAAAAAACAGCAAAGAUCAGUUUGUCAAGCAGCCAACCAUCUUCUCAGACAUCUUAAGGAAGGAGCCAGUGUGACCCCCUUCCAAGACUGUUGACACAAGACAAGCAUUUCUCCUCUGCAUCAGUGAGCGAAGGUGACAUCCAGAGGUUCUACAUUAUUGACCAAAAGCCGGUUCCAUGCAAGGCACAUACAUUUAUUGCAGCUUUUGAUGAACUGUUCGAAGCUCACUACGUCUUCAGUCUCUCGUAUGGUUAAAAAUGGAUAAGAGCAAACAUUUGGGUCUGAAUGCUGCCCAGUCAUGGUGUCUUCUAUGUAACACUCCACUUCUAUUUGGUGAUGGCACUGAAAGGAAGAAUGAUCACUGGAACUUCCUCCUCCUUUUGAUGCAGAUUGUCAACAUACCUGUAGUGUUCUCGUACACCAUAACUGAUGGAAUGAUGCUUUACUUACAACAUCUGAUAAGUGACCCCCACACUCGGUACAAAGCAUUGCUUCCUGGUAAGAAGUUGAUUCCCAAGCACUGCUUGAUACACUAUCCAAGAUGCAUACAAAACAUUGGCCCUCUUAUCCAUACGUGGUGCAAGUGUUUUGAAGCCAAACACAAUUCUUUCAAAAGGUGUGGUUAAAAUGUUUAAAAAUCUCAGUCGUUUGUCGUGGCCUUUCACUAUGAAAAUUAUUAUUUUAGAAGAUUUGCAUUUGGCCCUACAACAUGAAAAACAAUCUGCAACUUGAAAGGUGGGGAGGAACGUGGUCAGGCAUGAUGUCUGCAAGCAUCUUCAAGUGUGUCAAGUACCAACUGGGUGAGAAGUUACGGUAUAGAUUACCAUGUUGGUGUGUUCAUAUGUACUGGAUGUAGCUUUGAUCUACCUGUGUUCAAGAAGAUCUGGGAUAUAAUAAAACACAAAGAAUGUGCUUUCAUAAGAGCCUGUAAUGUAGAAAGGAUGUACUAUGAUGACCUGUUUAACGCGUACUGCAUAGAAGACCAAAUGCUUGAGUUUUCUGUCAUGUGUUUACAUGAACUGACUCAUUUCAGACCAUUUGACAAGCAGUGCUCUAAUGACAGUUGUCAAAGAGCAAACAUACUGUAGUGCCCUGCUGUUAUUUAAGCUGUCUGUUGGAAAUGAAAUGUUUUUGAAUAAAAUGUA